rnacentral:lncRNA from 1 species
UUAUAAUUCUUUUAUUUAAUAUAUUUGUUUAGAAAUUUAAAAAAUAAAAAUAACCUUUUUUUUCCUUCCAAAUUCUAUUUUCAUAAAGGCAUAUAGGACUUACUCAAACUAUGAACUAUUUUAAAUCAACCGCCCAGCCUUUUUAAAAUUUUUAAUUUUACUUUGUAAUUUUUCAGUUUAUUUGAUUUGAAUAUGUUAACGACGCUUUUGAUGACCAGUACACUUCAUGUAAUUUCGCCACUAUAAAUUUAUUAAAAUAAGUAAUUGACUUAAAUUUUAAAGUCGAAGGACGAUUGACCGACUUAAAUCAAAUAAAUUGAAAGGUUAGAGAGUAAAAUCAAAAUUCUGAAUAAUUAGAUAAUUGAUUCAAAAUGGUCUACACUAUCUCACAUUAAACCAGAAAAUACAAAAAGAAUAAAAAUUCGAUAACCUGAAAUUUAAUAAUCUUUCUUUUUUUAAAAAAAUUGUCAUCUAUCACUUGACUCAGUGCAUUAUAAGUUAACCAAUCAUGACAAUAAAAAAAUAUCUUCCAUCAGUUUAUUAAAUUACAUAAA